UCCUCAUAACAGUUAUUCUUUUUGACCGCUUUCAUUUUUACAAUCCAUCAUCAAUUUAAUAUCUCUCUCACAUCUUCAUUUUAAUUGCAUAAAUAUCGACUAGUUUUUACCAUAACGCGAGCAAAAUGAACGCGUUUCGAGUAUUCAAUUUGAUAGUGCAGAGCUGCCUUAAAAGUACAUUUGAAGAAAUGACUUGACUUGCUCAUCGCGUAACUCGAAAACUUGGCGCCAUUAAAUUUCUGGAAACUUUGUGAGAGGAUGUAUUUCUUAAUUAAGUGCGAGCAAUAUUAUGUAUUGCAUAAAAAAAAAUUAAAAUAGUGGAAGGAAGUAAAAUGUGCAUUGCAAAAUUUAGCAAAGACAGUUUCGAAGCGGAGAUUAUUGAUUCGCGAGAAGAUCGUGAAAUACUGGACCAGCAAUAUCAAGAACUUAAUAAGGCUAUACUUACUAGAAGCAGCCACUAAGUUAAAUGAAAGUGAAGCAACAACGAACGAUGAUAAAUCCGAGGAGCCAUUAACAGCUUAUAAGUCAAAUACUGACACAACAAAUAAAAGCAACCUGGGACAAUUUGAAGCUUUCGGUAUGUGUGCAAUUAUUAAAACUAAGCCAGGACUAAAUAAAAAAUCAUUUGCAUUACACUUCUGACAGAGUUAUGUUUUGUAAUGUAUUUAUUAUUAUAUGUUAAGUUUUAAAUAUGCAUAAUUGUGAGUACCACAGUUUUAAGGCCAGAGUCGGAAAAUAUCAAAAGAUUUAUAGCCUUAUUAGUGUUGAAAACAAUUUAAUUAUCAUUUGUAUUAUGAGUUACUCACAUAUGCAAAAUAAGAUCAAUUUAUUAUAAAAAGCUACACAAAAGACACAAUCGGUCAUUACUUUUCUAGGAAUAGUGUAUUCUCUUGUACGCUAUAUGCCUCCGGACGUACAAACCUUUUUUAGUAUUCAAACACCUUUUGCUAAUUUGUAUUUUAACUAAAGCUAACAUUGUAUACUGAUAAUACUCGCCUUUUGGAUUGUUACCUAAUUGGUGCUAGUACCAGUUAUUUUGUGUUCGUUUCAGGUGUCUUGUGCCCGUCUUAUAUUAACAUGUAAAAUAAAUAAAUGUAUUAAUAAAAUACUUAUACCUUAACAUAAUAGACAAAGACUGGCCUCUAAAUGGCUAGAUUCCCCAGCAUAAGCAUUUUAUACAUUUAAAUCGCUUGGUAAUUUUCCACAUUCUAUUCAAGGAGUCGAUUCCAACUAUACUCCGGAUAUAACUAAUCAGUCCAGCAGUUAUAUACUUCCAAGUUUAACUUACAGAAUGUGACUCCACUAAGUGAUAUAAUGGAUUUGAUUAUUCCUAAUUGUGAAAACUUUUUUUUGCUUGUUUUGUAAUAAAUUGCAAUCAAAAUUCGUUCGUCACUUGCAUAAUAAUAAGCUACAAGUAAAAAAGUGUUUAUGCCUGUCGAAAAAUGACAAAACUCGAAGAGUAGUUAUUAAUGAGAUUUCGAGUAAUGGCGAUUAAAUCGACAAUAUCGAUGCAUCGUUAAAUAACGAAAUUUUUAAGCGAAUUAACUCUAAAAACGAAUAUGUUGUGAUAUGUUGCAAGGGAUGUUCUGGAUUUUUUCCCCACAAGUACGAUACGCAGUCAUAUAAAUAAUUGCAUAGGCGGCGAUCAUAAGAAAGGAACUCCUGACUUCCUUAAGCAAGGUCGCUCCAAAACCGGCUCUAUGCAUAAAAGUGCAAGUGACGUUCUCUUCUAGUUUGUGUUCGUUUCAACUGUCUUGUGCUCGUCUUAUAUUUAUAUGUUUCUAACAAAGAUGCAUCCGAAUAAUUUAUAAACACAACUUAAAAUGCAACGGCUAAUAGUGGAUCUUUAGGACUUAACGACUUUGGCUCUAAUUGUUUAGAUUCAUCGGCAAAAAAUCAAAAUCAUUCCACGAUAAACGAUUCAUUUCAAUCGCUUAAUACUAAUUGUCCAGAUUCCACUCAAGGAUUCGAUUCCAGUUAUGCUCCGGAUAUAACUAACCGGUCCAGCAUUUUAAAUAAUUCCAACAUUAAACAAGUUUUUUCUUACACAACUGAAACUCCACUAAGUGAUGUAAGGGAUUUAAUUAUUCCUACUGCGAAAACCCAAACAAAUUGUAAGAAACAUUUUGCUUAUUUUGCAAUAAAUUGCAAACAAAAUUUGCUUGUCACUUGCAGAUUGUUCAUAAAAAUGAGCCGCAAGUACAAAAAUUUUUGUUCCUGUCGAAAAAUGACAAAACUCGCAGAUUACUUAUUGAUGAGAUUCGGAAAAAUGGUGAUUAUAUCCAUAAUAUCGAUGCAUCGUUAAAUAACGGAACUCUAAUCGUGCCCCGUCAAAAGCGUGUAAACUCUAAAAACGAAGCGGUUGAUUUCAUAUGUUGCAUAAAAGUGCAAAUGACGUUGUACGCACAAAAAUAAUGCCUGUUUUAAAUGAUGAUCCCAUUUCUAGAAAUCUUAUAUAUGAUGAAUUGAUUGUUUUAUUCGCAAACGCAGAAUCUAUGAAGCACGGCGAACUUCAGUACGAUAUGAUCAGAGCAAACAUGAGAUUGCUCAGCAGACUAUUACAUGAAAUAAAAAAAUCAGAAUCUAAUGAGAUACAGGAACUUAAAGACGCCAUCAAUCCCGAACAUUUGGAUUUUAUGAUAUCUUGUAUCAGAAAAGUGGCUCAGUGGGACUCUUCUUCGUUGUUUUAAAACACCUUCAGUUGCAACGAACCUUACAACUCUAAUUAAAAAGGGCGCAAAAAUAUUGUGGACUCAUUGCAUUAAAACACAAAAUCAUGCAAAAAAAAAAAAAAUUAAAAAUAAAUUAUGAUUUCAUAUUUAGCGUGCCUAACGCCAAGCCCUUAGCAAAGCAAUAUGUUAGGGCUUGUCCGAUUCUACAAAAAUUUGCCCAGGAAUUUGGGGCUCGCUGCCCAGGGGCUUUACGGGGAAUGAUGCUUCGAAAGCAUUUAGCUACCUAUACAUCGAUGCUUAACGUCAAAGAUGUCCAAAUUUAUAGGCUUGCCAAUUUUAUGGGUCAUCAUAAAGAUAUACAUAAAGAAAUCUUCAGAAUCCCUGUAACAGUAGCGGAGAUAGCCGAAGUAUCCCAGAUGCUUAUGGCAGCUCUUGGAAAUAAUGUUGAGGAUGAAAACACAGUAGCCCUUGAUCAGUUAGAAGAAAGUAAGUGCAUAGAUUCAUCAAGUUUGUGGGUGAUACUAAGAGUAGUUAUGGUGAAAAUUGUAAUAUCUUAACUUAACUAAUAAUUACUUGUUGGGCUUUUAUUGUGAAUGUUUUUACAUUGUACCUGAGAUCCAUU